CGGCGGGACGGGGUGGAGUAACGCGUGGGUAACCGUGCCUCAUACAGGGGGAUAACAGUUGGAAACGGCUGCUAAUACCGCAUAAGCGCACAGUACCGCAUGGUACGGUGUGAAAAACUCCGGUGGUAUGAGAUGGACCCGCGUCUGAUUAGGUAGUUGGUGGGGUAACGGCCUACCAAGCCGACGAUCAGUAGCCGACCUGAGAGGGUGACCGGCCACAUUGGGACUGAGACACGGCCCAA
rnacentral:rRNA from 1 species